GCUCCCGUAGCUCAGUAGGAUAGAGCGUUCGCCUCCUAAGCGAAAGGUCGCUGGUUCGAAUCCAGCCGGGAGCA
rnacentral:tRNA from 1 species